rnacentral:rRNA from 1 species
CGAACAGUCUCAGUUCGGAUUGAAGGCUGAAAUUCGCCUUCCAUGAAGCCGGAAUUGCUAGUAAUGGCAGGUCAGCAUACUGCCGUGAAUACGUUCCCGGGCCUUGUACACACCGCCCGUCACACCAUGAGAGUUGGGAAUACCCGAAGCCUGUGAGCUAACUUUUAGAGGCAGCAGUCGAAGGUAGAAUCAAUGAUUGGGGUGAAGUCGUAACAAGGUAAC